rnacentral:tRNA from 1 species
GCGGGUGUAGUUCAAUGGUAGAACAUCAGCUUCCCAAGCUGAAUAUGAGGGUUCGAUUCCCUUCACCCGCUCCA